ensembl:ncRNA lncRNA:CR45177 long non-coding RNA:CR45177
UUGCAAAUACCCUCCUGCUAGCUGUAGGAACUUGUAACGAUUCAUAAGGCUAGGGUGGUGUUAUGAGAUAUUCCAGGGCGCACGCGCGAAUGUCCAGCUGCUCCUUGUCGGUUAUGUGGGGUGAUGGUCUUGUCCCGGAAUCUCGAUGUGACGACAAUUAAAAAAGGGCGGCAAAUCGCCAUCCACGACACGGACAACGGACCUCAUAUGUGGUGGAGGAUCAUCUACCAUAAUCGUAACUUAGUAAAAUUCGGACCGCUAAUAAUCCAGCAAUUUGCAGUUUUCGAUUCCCACUCGAAUAUUUUAUAAUCAGCUACCCGCGCUUAAUGGAUAUGGAAAGUUGAUCCCUUAAAAAAUAAUUAACUUAGAUGAAAUAAUUUUAGAGUUGAGAGACAAUCUUGGCACCCCAAGAAUUAAUUAAAAAUAAACAUACAUUGCUG